UAAAAGCCAUCCCAGUUCGGAUCGCAGGCUGCAACCCGCCUGCGUGAAGUUGGAAUCGCUAGUAAUCGCGGAUCAGCAUGCCGCGGUGAAUACGUUCCCGGGCCUUGUACACACCGCCCGUCACACCAUGAGAGUCGGGAACACCCGAAGUCCGUAGUCUAACCGCAAGGGGACGCGGCCGAAGGUGGGUUCGAUAAUUGGGGUGAAGUCGUAACAAGGUACC
rnacentral:rRNA from 1 species